rnacentral:tRNA from 2 species
GUCCCCGUAGCUCAAUUGGAUAGAGCAGCGGACUUCUAAUCCGCAGGUUGCAGGUUCGAUUCCUGCCGGGGAUG